rnacentral:rRNA from 1 species
AUGCAAGUCGAACGGUAACAUUUCUAGCUUGCUAGAAGAUGACGAGUGGCGGACGGGUGAGUAAUGCUUGGGAACUUGCCUUUGCGAGGGGGAUAACAGUUGGAAACGACUGCUAAUACCGCAUAAUGUCUUCGGACCAAACGGGGCUUCGGCUCCGGCGCAAAGAGAGGCCCAAGUGAGAUUAGCUAGUUGGUAAGGUAACGGCUUACCAAGGCGACGAUCUCUAGCUGUUCUGAGAGGAAGAUCAGCCACACUGGGACUGAGACACGGCCCAGACUCCUACGGGAGGCAGCAGUGGGGAAUAUUGCACAAUGGGGGAAACCCUGAUGCAGCCAUGCCGCGUGUGUGAAGAAGGCCUUCGGGUUGUAAAGCACUUUCAGUUGUGAGGAAAAGUUAGUAGUUAAUACCUGCUAGCCGUGACGUUAACAACAGAAGAAGCACCGGCUAACUCCGUGCCAGCAGCCGCGGUAAUACGGAGGGUGCGAGCGUUAAUCGGAAUUACUGGGCGUAAAGCGCACGCAGGCGGUUUGUUAAGCUAGAUGUGAAAGCCCCGGGCUCAACCUG